GACGAACGCUGGCGGCGUGCUUAACACAUGCAAGUCGAACGGUGAAGCUCCAGCUUGCUGGAGUGGAUCAGUGGCGAACGGGUGAGUAACACGUGAGCAACCUGCCCCUGACUCUGGAAUAAGCGCUGGAAACGGCGUCUAAUACUGGAUACGAGAAGGGUCCGCAUGGGCACCUUCUGGAAAGUUUUUCGGUUGGGGAUGGGCUCGCGGCCUAUCAGCUUGUUGGUGAGGUAAUGGCUCACCAAGGCGACGACGGGUAGCCGGCCUGAGAGGGCGACCGGCCACACUGGGACUGAGACACGGCCCAGACUCCUACGGGAGGCAGCAGUGGGGAAUAUUGCACAAUGGGCGAAAGCCUGAUGCAGCGACGCCGCGUGAGGGAUGACGGCCUUCGGGUUGUAAACCUCUUUCAGCAGGGAAGAAGCGAAAGUGACGGUACCUGCAGAAGAAGCACCGGCUAACUACGUGCCAGCAGCCGCCGUAA
rnacentral:rRNA from 1 species